rnacentral:rRNA from 1 species
AUUGAACGCUGGCGGUAUGCUUAACACAUGCAAGUCGAACGGUAACAGGCCUUCGGGCGCUGACGAGUGGCGGACGGUGAGUAACGCGUAGGAAUCUGCCUCAUAGUGGGGGACAACGUGGGGAAACUCACGCUAAUACCGCAUACGCCCUACGGGGGAAAGCGGGGGAUCUUCGGACCUCGCGCUAUGAGAUGAGCCUGCGUUAGAUUAGCUAGUUGGUAGGGUAAAGGCCUACCAAGGCGACGAUCUAUAGCUGGUCUGAGAGGACGAUCAGCCACACUGGGGACUGAGACACGGCCCAGACUCCUACGGGAGGCAGCAGUGGGGAAUAUUGGACAAUGGGCGCAAGCCUGAUCCAGCAAUACCCGCGUGUGUGAAGAAGGCCUAGGGUUGUAAAGCACUUUCAAUUGGGAGGAAAACCUGCCGGUC